AUGUCAGACCAAAGUGACAGCCAGAACAGGGAAGAAGAGCAGAUUCACAUGAGUGAGGGCACUAGUCCCUCUAGUUCAUCAGAUGAUGGCAGCAGGAGCACUCCUAGCAAUCUGCCCAAAGCAGCCACAAGAACCAGAAGGAAGAGAACCUCAGACUCAGAGGAUGAGGACUAUGUGGCAGCUGAAGAUGAGGCUACUUCGAAGAAAGUAGUGCUCAAGAAGGAGUAUGGCUCAGCAAAGACCACAAAGCCUGGACUUAAUAGGAAGGUCCCUGCCAAGAGGACACCUAUGCUGAAGGUCAGAGGAUCAACACAAGAACCAGAGAAACCUGAUCCCAAAGAGCCAGCUGCAGAAGGAAAGAAGAGAAAGGAAAGGGUCAGAAAGACCAUGGCCAGAGUUGUUGGACAACCUUCCAUGAUGGAAGAGGAGGAGGAAGAAGAGGUUGCUGCACCAGCACCCAAGGCACAAAAGCUUAUGGGUGAUGCUAUAAGUUCAGGGGUUGCAUCAUCAAAGACCAAAGAAGCACCCAAAGCUGCCUCCAAGGCCAAGUCUGCACCUAAGAGGAAUACCAGGAGCAUACCAGCUAUUGAGAAGAACAAGGCCCCAGUGCCUGAAGUUGCUGCUGAGGAAGAUGAGGAAGGACAAGUCCUGAGGAAGCUCAAACCCAAGAUUCCAGACCACAACGAUGCUCAUCCAGUGGCUGAGAAUAUGAAGCUGAGGAAAGAUGCAGGGCUCAGGCAAUGGAGAUUGUCUGAUCCAUAUGCAAUAAGGAGAAGAACUGUUGUUGAUUACAGGUUCCACACUAAGGAAUAG
rnacentral:rRNA from 1 species